UAAAAGGAAAAAAAGGAGGAAAAAAGAAAGGAAGAAAGGAAAGAAAAGAAAGAUUUG
rnacentral:ribozyme from 1 species